GAUGAAGAACGUAGCGAAAUGCGAUAAGUAAUGUGAAUUGCAGAAUUCAGUGAAUCAUCGAAUCUUUGAACGCACAUUGCGCCCGCCAGUAUUCUGGCGGGCAUGCCUGUUCGAGCGUCAUUUCAACCAUCAAGCCCCAGGCUUGUGUUGGGGACCUGCGGCUGCCGCAGGCCCUGAAAACCAGUGGCGGGCUCGCUGUCACACCGGGCGUAGUAGAUUUUAUCUCGCUCAGGGCGUGCUGCGGGUUCCGGCCGUUAAAAAGCCUUUUUUACCCAAGGUUGACCUCGGAUCAGGUAGGAAGACCCGCUGAACUUAAGCAGAUCAAUAAGCGGAGGA
rnacentral:misc_RNA from 1 species